UACGGAGGGUGCAAGCGUUGUUCGGAUUUAUUGGGCGUAAAGCGCGUGUAGGCGGUUUCUUAAGUCUGAUGUGAAAGCCCCGGGCUCAACCCGGGAAGUGCAUUGGAUACUGGGAGACUUGAAUACGGGAGAGGGUAGUGGAAUUCCUAGUGUAGGAGUGAAAUCCGUAGAUAUUAGGAGGAACACCGGUGGCGAAGGCGGCCUUCUGGACAGUGACUGACGCUGAGACGCGAAAGCGUGGGGAGCAAACAGG
rnacentral:rRNA from 1 species